GGGAUAUAUUUAAUGCCAUAACCACCUUUUCAAAUAACUUAUCUUCCUCGGCAUUUUUCGCUACUUGAUUGGCAAGGGUGGUUUUGCCCACACCGCCCAUCCCCCACACACCAAUCAUCCUGAUAUCAUCAUUUCUCAAGGCCUCCAUAAUUCGGUUUAAAAUAGAUGCUCUCGAUACCAAAGGUUCACAAUCUCUGAGGCGUGGAGACCAUAUCCCUUGUAGAGGAGGGCGAUAUGAUACCCUGGUAAAGUUAUUUUCUUCUUGGAGUUCACCAAUAUCCUCAGACAGCUCCUUCGCUUGCCUGCUUCGCUGGUACCCCAACUUUAAAUUGAAACACAAACAGCUCGUGUUUUCAGCGUUUUCAUCUUGAAUCAAUUCCCUUGCCCUUUGGAUGAUCUCUUCUGUACGUGUCAGCCAAUCCCGGACAUCAUUUUCGAUAUCAUCCCCUUGCCUAUUAGCCUCAUCCACAUCGUGCUGCAGCCUCUCCCUUGCAUUACCCAGCCUCUCAACUUGUUCCACAAGCUCAUCAAGGUUGCUACGAUAGUUAAACAGGUAACCCAGUUGACGUACAAUUGGAUCAACCAGGUACCCUGCAACUUUUCCUGCAACAUUUGCUGCAGCGGACAUAAGAAUUGCUGCCAUUUUCCAAGUUUUCUUUCUCUGGAAAUAGAUGGGAAUUGAGCAAAAGCAGAAAAUAAGAAGGGCCUCAGGAGAAGGAAAACACCACAAAAGAAAAAUGGUAAUUAAUUGAGUGUGACAGAUGAAAAUAAGGAGAUGAAAGGUUCGAGGUAUCCAAAGGGCAGAGUAGGUGGAAGGUUUUAGCUAUGAAGGAAACAAUAAUUUUUUUUAUUUUUUAUUUUUUGUUUGCAAGAAGAGGAGAGGAGGAGAGGAGAAACACAAAGCAGCAAAAUGGAAAAUAAGAUUGAUUACUUGAAAGAACGAGUGUGAAGGGCAUAAAGUAUGAUGAGUUGAUAAAAUGAGAAACGGGCUACAGAGUGGAGACUGAGAAAGACUCAGAAAAGCGCUGCAGAGUGAAGAGACUGAGAAAGACUGAGAACAGUGUUAUAGAGUGAGGAGAAACACAAAGCAGCAAAAUGGAAAAUGAGAUUGAUUACUCGGAAGAACGAGCGUGAAGGGGAGAAAGUAGGAAGAGUUGAUAAAAUGAGAGAAGGGCUACAGAGUGGAGACUGAGGAAAAGGGCUGCAGAGUGAAGAGACUGAGUAAUAUCCAUCAUUGACAAUGACUCAUUUUAGUUUUAGUCGCACAUCACAUGUUUGAAUUUGGCAACCAAGACACCAAAACAUUUAAUACCUUAUGCAUUAAAAUAUCAUCUUGAUUCAAACACUUUCAUCAAUCCAUUUCUUCCAUUUAUAAUAAAAUAUUUAUACAAUUAUUUUUUAAAAUUACUCACACCAAACAAAGUAAAAAUAAUAAACUUUAAAUAAUUAAAAUAUAUUUUUAUAAAACACACUGUUUUCGUAAUAAAAUCUUAAAAAAUUAUAUUUUAAAAAUAUUUUUUUAGUAUGAAAAAUAAUGUUUCAAUUUUUAAGAAAUAAAAGUGUUUUUAAAAAUAGUUAAAAACUUGCUCGAAAGUUUUGAUUGGUCGGUGGUUUAAUAAGCAUAACAACCUGUCAUCCUUGUGUUUUCAAUUAAAGCAAAUAUCUUUGGACUUGGAGUCCUUGCUUGAGUGUAAGGAGGUAUUAUUAUUGUGGACCCUACUGUCCACUCUAAGCUGAAAAUGUGUGGUUUAUGUUAUUAGCAGGCUUUUCAAUCAUUCUGACAAAUAAAAAUGAAGAACUUUGAGCGGCUAGAAGAAGUUGAUGAUCCAAACCAUAAAUCGAAGCUCAACCCGAUCACUCUAAAUAAUCAAUUCACACCCUACCCACUCUCAUUUCUUUUUCAAGUUUAGGUUGAGUUGGGAAUGAUUAGAUUAAAUUCAGAUUAAUUAGCUAGUAUAAUUUAAAAUUUAUUUAUACUAUUUUUUAAAAAAAAUUGUAAGAUAAAAUUUUAAGAUAACAAAAUAAACAAAUAAAUUUGCAUAUUUUUUUAAAAAUAAAAAAGUAUAUGAUGUAAUAUAUUUUGAUAUAUUUUCUCUUAAAAAUCUUUAUUUUAUCGAUUAAUAUACAUUAUAAACAUUAAAUUGGGUUCGAAUUAGAUCUUAAUUAUAUGAAUCUUGGCUUGGACACAAUCCAAAUCUAACUCAAACAAAAAAAACCUAACUCAACCCUAGUAUUAUUAACUCAAACAAAAAAAAACCUAACUCAACCCUAGUAUUAUUAACUCAAAUUGAAAAAAUCUAAGAGUUGGAACACAAUCCAAAUUAUACUUGGAUUGGAAAAACCUAAUUUAAUCAUAGUAUUAAAAAUUAUUAUUCAAACUCAUUUAAACAUUAAAUUAGAUUUGGAUUUGAUCAAGUGUAUAUGUCUCGGUUGUACAAAAAAAUAGUUUUUUUUUAAAUAUUUUUGAAACGAAUUCUCUAAUAUUUCAUAGAAUAAAAAUUUGGUUAAACCCCUAAAAGGUAUGAACCUAUAUUUUUCAAUAUAUUUUAAAAAAUAGUUCUUAUAUAGAUUUUACUUUUAAUUAUAUUUUAUAUUUAUAUCAUAAUAUAUUUAAAAUAAAACAACAGAAAGUAGUACAAAUAUGUUUAAAAAAUACCUUAUUUCAAGAAUAAAUUCUAAAAAAAUGGUUUUUUUAUCAUAAAUUAUUAAAUAUAUUUUUGAGUGUGAAAAAUAGUUAAAACUCUUUUUUAAAACCAUUGAAAACAAUCAAAACAUGCUCUAAGGUUUUGAUGACGCAAUCGUUUAGAAAACACAACAGCCUGUGAUGCUUGCACAUUUGCAACAAAGCAAGUAUACUCAGCCUUGGAUUUCUUACUUAUUAUUGUUGACCCUACUCUCUACUCUAAACUGAAAAGUUGGUUACAUUAUCAGUUGGCUCUUCAAUCAUUCUGACGAAGAAAUUGACCAAACAAGAAAAGAGAAAGAGAGAGAUGGAUGGAGUUACAGAACACGUGAUUGCAUUCUCUGCCACUAAAGCAAAAUUAUAUUUUAAAGAAAUAAAUUCAAGUUGAAGUCUCAAUUGAAACUUCAUUUAUAAACUAAAGUCGUAAUUAGUAAUCGAGAAUUCAUUUUUAAAUUAAAAUUUUAAUUACUAAUUGAGCUUAAUUUUUAAAUUGAAACCAUAAUUGAUAAUUGAUAUUUUAUUUUUUAAUUGAAAUCUCAAUUAUAAAUUGAGGCUUUAAUUUUUUUGUUUUACUUUAAAAUUUAAUUAAAAAUAUUAAAUUACAAAUUGUUAUUAAAAUUAAAAAAAUAUAUUUUAAUAAUAAAAAUUUUAUAUAUUUAAACUUAAAAAUCUAGUAUUAUUUCAAUAAAUAUAAAUUGAUAAAUAUAAUAAUAAAUAAAUAUUUUAAGAGCAUUUAAUUUUAAAAUCAAUUUUUGAAGGUAGAUAAAAUUAAGAUUUUAAAAGUACUUGCAUUAAAUUUAUUAAUUUAAAUUCACAAUUCCCAUCAUAUUACAUUAAAAAAAAAACUAAUAUUUUUUUACUAAAUAUAUAAUAAAAAAGUACAUUUUUGUUUAAUUAAAAAUUUAAAUCAUUAAAAUUGUUUUUAUUUUAAUAAAUAAUGUUUUAAAAAGUAUAUUAUGUGUGUGUGUGUUUUUUUUAUUAUUUAAUAGUCAUUAUCAAAGUCAUAACAAUGACAAUAAAAAAACUCAAUAAAUUAGUACAUCCUACUACUUACGUUGAUAUUUUAGUUAUUAACAUUGUUAUUGUUAAAUAAAGACAAUGUCACUAUCUUCAAAUGACAUAUUUGAUAUGGAGGGCAAAACAGUGAUGAAUAAUAAAUAGGUCAGUACAUUCUUUUAUUUACAACAAUAUUUUUAGUUACUAACAUUGUUACUUAUAGAUAAAAACUAUAUUGUUAUCUCCAAUGGAUGCAUAUUUGAUGUAAAUGUUGAAAUGGUUAUGAAUAAUAUGAGAGCUACAUAUGUGGGUCCCAUUAAAUAUACUUACCAAUUUGUCUUGACAACUCACCUUUAAUUGGUUAAAGAGCAUUUUCGAGCAUAAUUUUUUUUUUUUUUGUCAAAUACUUUCCUUGAAAUAACCAUUUUUGGGUUCCAUUUUCUUCUUUUAUUUCAUAAUGUACCAUGUUCACAUAAUUCUCCCAAAUAUAUUUUAAUAAUAAAAUUUUUAUAUAUUUAAACUUAAAAGUAUAAUAUUACUUCAAUAAAGAUAAAUUGAUAAAUAUAAUAAUAAAUGAAUAUUUUAUUCAUUAAUAAAGUAAUAAUAUUCAAAUAAUAAAAUUAUAUAACAUAUGAAUAAGAUAUAAAAUUAUAUAAUUUAUUAAUUUAAAAUAUUUAAUUUGUUAUAUUUUUAAGAUAUUAGUUUGUUCAUAUUUUGACAAAAUUAUCUUUAGUGAAAAAAAGUAGUAUACUCUUAACUUUUCAUAUAUAGAUUUUUUAUUAUUUUAAAGCAUAUGUUUAUAAUUUUUUCAUUUUGUGUAAAAAAAACUAUUAUUUAUAUGCCUUCAAGAUAAAUUUUGAAAUUAGUUAACAGAAAGUCUAUUAAUAAUUUUUAGUAGUUUUAUCAAAGUUACAAAAUAUAUGGGAAAAAAAUGUCUCUCCCUAAUUAUAGCAAGUACUAUAUGUUAUAUAACUUAAAUUAAUAAAUUAUAUAAUUUUAUAUUUUAUUUAUAUAUCAUAUAACUUUAUUAUUUUAAGAUAAUUAAUUUAUUGAUAAAUAAAAUAUUUAUUUAUUAUUAUAUUUAUCAAUUUAUCCUUGAAGUAAUAUUCGAUUAAUUAAAUUUAAAUAUAUAAAAUUUUUAUUAUUAGAAUAUAUAUAUCUAUAUAUAUAUAUUUAAUUUCUAACAAUAAUUUAUAAUUUAAUACCUUUUAAUUAAAUUUCAAAGUAUAAAAAAAAUUAAUUGAAGCUUUAAUUAUUAAUUACGAUUCUAUUUAAAAAAAAUGAAGCUCAAGUGAUAAAAAAGGGUUUCAAUUUCAAUUUUUAUUUUAUUUAAAAAAAGAUAUUUUUUAUGAUAGGACUCUAACAGUAAAAAGACUAAUUUAAACAUAAAUUUUGUAAAGGGUUAAACUUAAUAUUUUUUUUUAUAUAAAAGGCUAUUUUCCGCCCAAAAACUCAAAGUAUGGUCCUGGAAGGCAUGUCGCAGUGGUAGGGCCCAAAGGACAUAGUGACAUUUUCCUGGCAAAAAGAGGCAGAAAGGUAUGAUCAUUUUUAAAUAUUUUUUUUAAAAAAUAAUUCUUAUAUAUACGGUUUUAUUUUUAAUUAUUUUUUAUAUUUAUACCAUUAUAUAUUUAAAAUAAAAAAAAGAACAAAUAAAAACAACGGAAAGUAGUACAAAUAUAUUUAAAAAAUACCUUAUUUCAAGAAUAAAUUCUAAAAAAAAAAAUGGUUUUUUUAUCAUAAAUUAUUAAAUAUAUUUUUGAGUGUGAAAAAUAGUUAAAACUCUUUUUUAAAACCAUUGAAAAUAUGCUCUAAGGUUUUGAUGAGGCGGUUAUUUAGAAAACACCACAGCUUGUGAUGCUUGCAUUUUCAAGCUUAGCAGGUAUAUUCAGCCUUAGAUUCCUUCAUGAGUGAAAGUAGUUAUUAUUAUUGGUUACAUUAUUAGUUGACUUUUUAAUCAUUUUGACAAAGAAAGUGAUUAAACAAAAAAAGAGAAAGAGAGAUGGAUAGAGUUAUAUUAAAAAUUAAACUAGUGAAAAGUUUUUAUCAUGUCAUUUUUUUUAUUUUUUUAUUUUAACACUACCUGGAAAUCAAUAUUUUGAUGAGACUCGGCAUGCACAUCAAAACUAUUUCAAAUAAAUAUAAUAAAAGACUUGGUUGAAGAUUAUACUAUAAAAAAUGACUUUAUAUUUCAUAUAAUAUUGCAUAAAAAAACUCAUCUGUAUGGCUCCCAGCUCCCAAAUAAGUCAUGUGGAUUAGUUCAGAGGUCCAUUUCUUAUAUAUAUAUAUAGAAAGAGAAGACAGUACUGACGGUGGAUUGGAUAAAUAUUAAAAUAAUUUUAAAUCCAAAAAUAUUUUAUUCAAAAUUAAACUAAGGAAAUCAAUACAGUGAUGACAUCAUCCACUCUUUUAAAACUCCUGAAAAUAAACCCCAUGCGUACUUAUUAUACUAAUUUAAAUAAAUAUAAUAAAAGACUUGGUUGAAGAUUAUAUUAUAAAAAGAAGACUUUAUAUUUCAUAUAUAAUACACAAAAUCUUGUCUCUGUAGGGCUCCCACCUUCCAAACAAGUCUUUGGAUUAGUUGAGAGGUCUAUUUCUUUAAGAAUAAAUUAGAGUGAUGCUUUGAAAUUUAGCAAAAGUUACCAGUAAACCAAUAUAAAUAUAGAUAGUUGAGAGUAUAGAUUAUGGCUCCUACCUCCCAAACAAGUCUUUGGAUUAGUUGAGAGGUCUAUUUCUUUAAGAAUAAAUUAGAGUGAAGCUUUGAAUCUUUAGCAAAGUUACAAGUAAACCAAUAUAAAUUUAGAUUAGUUUAGAGUAUAUAUAUAUUAUAAUAACUUAAUAUAAUUUAAUAAAUUGAUUUAAAUCAUAAAUAGAUUAAGCAUAUUUUAUUAAUAUAAUUAAUUUAUUCUAAAUCCUAAAUAAAUAUCUUUUACCUUAAUUGCUCACAUCUUGUGAGAAUUUCUUUUAUAUUCAUAUUCUAUAUUUAGGAAUCAUUUUUUAAAAAUAAAUAUUUGAUAGUAGUUUUCUAUUUCUACAAGAUUUUUAAUAUGAUUGUUUAACAAAUAAAUGUGUUAUUUAAAAUUAAUGAAAGUAAAUAUUGAUUAAAAUUAGUAAGGAUAAAAUUAUAUUUAUUUAUAGUUAUUCUAACUUCACUUAUGAAAGCGUCAAUUGAAAAGGAAUUUUUUUUUCAAAUACAAGGAAUUUUCUCAAAAAAAGUGAAAGUUUUCAUGGAUAGAUUAAUCUUUUAAAAAAUAAUGUUAUUCCAUAAACCCAGUCUUACAAAAAAAAAAUCAUAAAUGAGAUUUUAAAAAUAUAAAUUAUUUAUAAAUAUAUUUAUAAUAUUAUUUUAAAAUAUGUUUUAUUAAUAGAAUGUGAUAAUAAUUGAGUCAAGUCACUGAUGUCAAAAAGCAAAUAGAUACUUAGAUAAAUCUUAAAAGAAAAAGGAUGUUAAGUUAAAAAUUAACCUAAUAAAAAGUUAUCAUCAUAUCAAAUUAUUUUAUUUUAACACUAUCAGGAAAGCCAUACUUUGAUGUGACCCAUCAUCAACUAUUUUAAACCUCUAAAAAUAAACCCCAUGACCUGGAACGCACGUUAAAUUAUUUCAAAUAAAUGUAAUAAAAGACUAGUUGAAGAUUAUAUUAUGAAAUAAAACAUUAUAUUUCAUAUGUAUCACACAAAAACUUGUCCAUAUGGCUCCCAGCUCCCAAACAAGUCACAUGGGUUCAGAGGUCUAUUUCUUUAAGAAUAACGUGGAAUGAUGCUUUGAACAUCCAACAUAUGUAAGAAAAGACAUUCAGCAAAUUGAAAUCAAACAUAAUAAAAGACUUGGUCCAAGAUCAUGUAUCUUAUCGAAUAAAAAAUGACUUCUUAUUUUAUAUUGUAUAUAUCAAAGUCGUGAAGGCAAAUCAAACAAUUUAUAUGGUUUAUAUUGAAGUCGUGAAGGCAUAUCAAACAAUGGAUUCAUCGAAUCUUCAUAAAAAUGCAAAAUCUAAUUUUACUCAAAACUUUUCUAAAUGAAUUAAGAACUAUAGAGCAUGUUUGCUAAUUAUUUUUAAAAAUAAUUUUAGAAAAUAGUUUUUUUAAAAUGGUUUUUGAAAACUAUUUUUAAUAUUUUGUAUAACAAAAGUCUAUUUAAAAACUUGAAAUGUUUUAAACCUAUUUUUAAUAUUUUUAAAAAUAAUUUUUACAUCUAACAUUUUAUUUUGAAUAAUUUUACAUAUUUGUAUAAUUAUUUUUUAAAACAGUUAUAAAAAAAUAAUUUAAUGUUAUUUGAAAAUAUUUUAUUUUUUUUGUUCUUUAAAACAUAAAUAGAAAACGAUUUUUGAAUGCUAAAUAUGUUUUCUUGACUUUUUAUCAUAAAGAAUAAAAAACUAUUUUUAAAAACAAUUGUUAAACAAACUCAUAGUUUAUAAAUAAAUAUGCGAAAAUGUCAUAAUUUGAAAUUUUAUCACAAUUAACAAAGAAUUAGGGCAUGUGAAAGAAAAAAAAUCUUAAUAGGGUCAUGAUCCAAUGAAAGUAGUGUAAAUUCCUUAUAUUGCUAAAUAUAAAAUGUAGGGGUUACCUUUUUGGACUCCUACGAAAAGGAUGAACUAAAAUAAGCAAAACAAGAGAGAAGAUAUUAUAGUAGUAAAAUAAUCACUUAAUUUUAAUAUAGAGCCAAAUAACUCAUUGUUUUAUUUAUUUUUACAAUAAUUUGAAUAUGGACAUAAAACUUUGAAUUCAACAUCAUGAAUUUAUGGACCAUUAGUUGAUUUUAAGAGGAUUAGAAUUGCUUCAUAAUAUUUGAAAAAGUUUCAAUUAAAAAACUUGGUGUAUGUAAAGUUGUAAAAUCUAAAAAUGGUUCUAUAUAAUACUGAGACCAUCGAUGAUUUUGAUGAUUCUACAAAUCAUUUUUUUAGUAUAUGAUACAUUCUUGAAAAAAACUAUAAAAGUAUUUGAUUUUCUUCUUUAUAUCCAAAUACUGACCGAUUAUUUAUGGAAGUAUUUUUGACAAAAAUGUUGUUAUCAAAAGUGCGACAUGUUGAAAUUGCAUUUAGGACCAUCAUUUGAGAAUGGGAAAAAGAUAAAGCGAUUACAUAAAAUUCUUAUUUUAAUUUUGUCAUUUAUAUUAAUCUAAUUAAACUGUCUAUUAAAAUUUCAUUUCGUAUUUUUGUGUUGGUGUAAGUGCUAGAAUCCUAGACUAGAGGUCAAAUAGCAAGUUACUUUCAUUUUAUAAGUUGAUUUUUCUGAGGGUCAAGCUAACAUUAAACAACACCUUCGUUUGUGAGCAAACCAAGUAGGAGAAAGGGAGGGCUCCAUAAAAACCAGCAAGACCCACUCAGCAGAGCCCAUUUGGCUUAAGGGCCCUAACGAUCCAUUUAGAUGGGCCAAUUGCAAAGACUCCCUGACUAAAAUGAAAAUGAAUCAACAUUAGAAAAGUGUGCUAGCACUGAAAUAGCAAGCCAUAGCUCAGCUGCAUGCUGCUCUCCGUUCAGAAGACAAUGGGCGAGAGUUAUACAACCCGCUACCUUUAUUUUGAUGGAGUCCUUUCCUAGUUAAAACCCAUGUUUUGGUCAUGUAACUGGAUAAUAAUUAGAGGGUGUUUAGUAAAUAGUUUAAUGACUUAAUAAUUUAAUUUAAGUUAUUAAGUAAAUUAAACAUGCUUAUUAAAAGAAAUUAUAAUUAAAAGUAAUUUUUAAUUUUAAUUAUUAAGUUAAAAUAAUUAAUUUAUUCUUAAUCUUAACUUUUUUAUCUGAUUUACCUAUACUAGUAAAAGUAUAUUUUAGAAUUAUGAUUUCAUAUUUAUGACUUAUUUUUAAUAAUAAAUAUUUUAUGGUGAUCUUAUGCAUCUAUAGUACUUUAAAUAUGAAUAUUUUAUAAAUAAAUUUAUUAUCUAAAAUUAAUGAAAAUAAAUAUGAGUUAAAAUCAAUAAGAAUAAAUAUUCAUUAAAAUAAAAGAGGAUAAUGUGUUGACUUGAAAUUUUAAAAUAACUUUUGAGUAAACUUUAUCAAAUAUCCUUAAUAUUUAAAAUUAAAAUAAGUAAUAAUUUUUAAGUGAAUAACUUCAUAACAAUUUAACUUAAAGUGAGCAUAAAUCAUUAAGUAAUCACCCACUUUGAGAAUAUUUAUUAAAUUAAUUUAAUUAUUUAAUAUGACUUAAUUGUUGGGUUUAAGGAUAUGGAUACAAAAUAUUAGUCCAAAAGACACAAAUAAAUAACAGAAUGAAUAAAAAGAAAAAUUUAUCGGUUGAGGCGUGACAAGUACUAUCCUUGAAAUAGAUCCACCAUCCUCGAAGACGAACUUGGUACACUAGGGUACCAAUGGUCUACCUCUAGGAUUUAACGACUAGAUCUUGCCUUGGUUGCACUUUGUAAGCGAGAUGUGUAUAACUUAGGUUUAGAAAAAAUUCCUCCAAAUAGAUGUAUGAAAGACUUUUUGAAAAACUCCCUAAAAAAUUGGUAUUCAUAUAUAGAGAGAAAAGGGUGACUUGCUUUUAUAGGCCAAAUGAGAAUCUACUUGUAAUUAGAAUAUGACUCAAAGUGGAAGGAGAUUCCACUUAUAAAAGGAAUGAAACUCCACUAGCACAAUCCCAAUAGGACUCUUCCCAAAAAUAGAAGACUAAUAAAAUAGAAUAAAAUAAAAAAUAAUUCUCAAUAGGACUCUUCCAAAAAAUAUAAGACUAACAAAAUAAAAUAAAAUAAAAUAAAAAUAAUUCUCAAAAAUAAAAAUAAAAAUUAUUUACACUCUUCCUACAAUUCCCCACAAAGUGUAAACGUAAUUUUUUUUUUUUUUGAGGAAAAAAGAAUCCAAUGCAUCAGUAUUGGUACCCAAAGGCUAUGAACCAGUCUUAGAACAAAUAAGUAUUGAAUCACAAAACAUGGUAAAAAUAAAUUUUUAUGAACUAGUGUUUCUUUGUGUAACUCAAGGAACUUUUAUCCAUAUUGGUUUUCUCAACUAUAUUAUGAGCUAUACAAAACGGGUUGACACAAAUAGGCCAUACGUCCUACCGGGAUAUUCAUGAGAGCUUUAGAGAACUUGCCUAAUUUCUCAUAGGAAGCAGCCCCACCUUCACUCUCAUAUAGGUGAAUCCAUCAAGUAUGUUUUGCAUUUAAACAUACCAUUCAUAAGGAAUAUGGUAUUCAUUAAGAGUAAACACUCAACCUUAGUCAAUGCAAAAUACGCUUUAUCUACACCGUAGGAAUGGACUCUCAUACAAUUAGAGUUGAUAGAGCAAUUCAAGUCAACAAGUGAUUUGUUAUUACCCAUAUAAACCUACUUCAUGGAAUUUCCAUUCUAAUAGGUUAGGUUACCACCACUCUUGACUUCUGUAAUAGACAUAAGCCCCAUCAUUCUUGAUGUUUCUUCCACUAGUUUCUUAUUUAGUGGUUUGGUCAAAUGAUCGGCCAAAUUCAAUCUGACCUCACAAAUUCUAGGAAUAUAACCCCUGUUUCAAGCAGCCGUACAAUAUUGUGCCUUAGGCAUAUAUGCUUGUUCUUCCCAUUAAAUAUUUUACUCUUAGCCUUAGCAAUUGCAGUUUGGCUAUCACAUCGCAUAGACACAGAUGGGGCUGGUCUCGUCUAUAAAGGGAUAUUUUGCUAAGAGGUUUCUAAGCCACUCAACCUCAAAACUUGCCUUUUCUAAGGCAAUAAACUCAACCUCCAUAGUAGACCGAAUAAUGCAAGUUUGCUUGGAAAACUUCCAAGAAACUGCACUUCCACCAAGGAUGAAAACAUAUCUACUAGUGGAUUUCAUCUCAUCUGAAUCCGAGAUCCAAUUUGCAUCACUAAAUCCUUCAAGGACACUUGGAAAUCCACUAGAGCACAAACCAUAGUUAAUGAUGCCUCUCAAAUACUUAAGGAUUCUACAAACAAUAGUCCAAUGAUCCUGAUUAGGACUUUGGGUGUACCGACUCAAUCUACCUACUGCAUAAGCAAUGUCAGGUAUGGUACAGUUCAUUAAGUACAUUAGGCUCCCUAUGAUCUUAACAUAUUCUAUUUGGGCAACAUUAUGUUCUCUAUUUUUCUUCAACUGUGAGCUGGGAUCAUAAGGAGUUGACACUGGUUUACAAUCAAAGUAUUCAAACUUCCUUAGGAUCUUCUUAACAUAGUGCUCUUGAGAAAGUUUAAGCCCAUUAUGUGUUCUAAUUAUUUUAAUUCCUAGAAUCACCUUUACCUCUCUUAGGUUUUUCAUAUCAAACUUAGAACCUAGGAAUUUCUUGUAAGGUAUUCUAUUUUGAAUAUAACAUGCGGAUAAGAUAGCUUCCUCUCACAAGUUCAAGGGUGCUCUUGAACUUACCAACAUUGCAUCAAAGGUUUUAAGUUAAUCAAAAUGUAUCCAAAGUUCACUAUAUCAAUUGUAGAGAAAAACCCUUUUCUGCCAUCUCUUAAAGAAUGUCCCAUUGAAAGGAUCACUUUUAGAGGUGUCAAGAUGGGUGUGAACUAAGGAAGCUUCCAUUUGGAUCUAUUUCAAGAUUGUUGGGUUUAAGGGUAUGGAAAUAAAAGACUAGCCCAAAAGACACAAACAAAUAACAAAAUGAAUAAGAAGAAAAAUUUAUCAGAUAAUCGGAGAUGAAAAAGACGAUCCAAAAUUUUGUGAACAAUGCGGAGUCGAAUUUGUUGAUUCUCGAAUACGAAGAUAUCAAAUGGGCUACAUCAAACUGGCAUGCCCAGUAACGCAUGUGUGGUAUUUGAAAUGUCUUCCUAGUUAUAUCGCAAAUCUUUUAGAUAAACCUCUUAAAGAAUUAGAAGGCUUAGUAUAUUGCGAUGUGUGAUUUGAUCGAAAUUCUGAUUUUACAGAUUCAGAAUGAGAAACUGUCAUCCCAUUCAAUCCAAUUGGGAUGCCUCGGCUCUGACAUGUCUCUUAAGAGGAGUAACAUGAAGCUCAGAAUUAUGGGUGUAUUCUAUACUACCAAAUAAAAGGGUAAUUGAUCUUUGGUCGAUUCUGUAACAAAUAAAUAGGAAUGUGAGGCAUGAUAAGCACUGUCUUUGAAAUAGAUCCACCUUCCUCGAAGACGAACUCGGUGCACUAGGGUACCAGUGGUUUACCUCUCUGAAAAACUCUCUAAAAAAAAUCUCUAAAAAAUUGGUAUUCAUAUAGAGAGAGGGGUGACUUGCUUUUAUAGGCCACUAACAAAUUCUCAAUGGGAAUCUACUUGUAAUUAGAAUAUAAGUCAAAGUGAAAGAAGAUUCCACUUAUAAAAGGAAUGAAACUCCACUAGCACAAUCCCAAUAAGACUCUUCCCAAAAAUAUAAGACUAAUAAAAUAAAAUAAAAUAAAAAACAAUUCUUAAUAGGACUCUUCCCAAAAAUAUAAGACUAAUAAAAUAAAAUAAAUUAAAAAUAAUUCCCAAAAAUAAAAAUAAAAAUUAUUUACAUUCUUCCUACAUUAACAACUUAAAUUAAUCAUAUUUAUUAAGAUAAUUUAAUAUAAUAACUUAAAUUUAAAAAUAACUUUAAGUAUAUAUAAAAUCAAAAUAAUUAAUUUAUUUUGAAUCUUAAAUUUUUUUAUUUGCCUACAUCUAGUGAGAAUCUCUUUUGCAUCCAUAACUUCAAAUCUUAUUUUUCAUGCUAAAUAUUUUAUAGUUAUUUUAUGUGUUAAGAAUACCUUAUUAAAGGUAUGCUUAUGAAAUAAAUUUAUUUCGUAAAAUUCAUAAAAUUAAAUAUUAAUCAAAUUGAUAAGGUAAAUAUUAAUUAAUAGUAAUGAUGAUAAAUAUGUUAAUUUGAUAGUUUAGAAAAAAAUUUCAAGUUAAUUUUACCAAACCAAUUUAAUACUUAAAGUUAAAACAAAUUGAUAAAUUUUAAUUCAUUAACUUAAAAAUAAUUUAAUUUAAAGUUAACUUAAGUUAUUAAAUAAUAAGUAUUAAGUUUUAUUAAAUAUCUUCUUACAUAUAUUAGGUUUUAUAUAAAUCUAGAAGAAAAUUUAAAACCAAGUAGAGCUUUAGGUGGUAUUUGGUUUUUUUUUUUUUUUUCACCUUAAUAUUAAAUAUAAUUUGCUUUCAAAUAUCAGCUAAUUGCGAAAGCAACACUCAUUGUCACUCACGCAACUGCUACCUUUACAUGUUGUAUUUUUUACUCUCUCAAAGUAAAUUUCUUCUUCAUUUCUUCUCUUUAUAUAUGCUUUAUUUAGAUAGAGAUUUCAAUCAUCUUCACUCUUUCUUUGUCAAACUCGUGGGCUUGUUUCAUUAAAGUUUUUUUUUUUUUUUUUGCCAUGAUUUAUGCUUUUCUUACUUGUUUGAUUAUUGUGAUUUUUGUGGUUUGUUUGGUUAUUAGAUUUUUAUGGUUUCUUUGAUUGGAGAAAUCUAAAAUAAAAGAAUCAAAAUUUAGGAAUUGCAUUAGAAAUUAUAUAACAAUUUUUUUAACUGAAUUAUAUAUAUAAUUUUCAUAUUAAUAAAUUAAAUUCUAAUUGAAAAUGACAAAUCCUUAGUAAUGGAGUUAGUAAUAUUAAUUUUUAUAAUAUUAAUUUUAUAUUAUUGAUUUUAUUAUUAAUAAAACUAAUAUUGUAGCGAAGUUAUAAGUAUGACAAAAACUUAUUGAUUUUAUAACAAUGUACUCUUUAACAUUUCCUUCACUGCAAACUAACUUUAGAAUAUAUUUCUUUUAAAAGUUUAUGAUUUUCUCAGAAAAAUUAUUUCUAAUAAGAAAAAUUCUUUCUAAUGAUAGAAUAUAUGUAAUGUUAAUUUAUUGAGAUGAUAUAUUAAUAUAGACACUAAUAUAGUAAGAAAAAAACCAAUGUUUUUAAUACUAUUAGAUUUGUUGUCAAAUGUGGAUAUAAUAUUUAUGUAUUGAACUACACUAAAGUUACGUUAUGGCAUGCUUUAAUUUUGUUUUUAAAUAAUUAUAAAAAUAAAUAUUUUAUUUUAAUAUUUUUUAAUAGUUAUGUCGUAAAAAUAUUAAUAAAAUUAUUGAAAUCUAUUUAAUAAGAAAUAUAAGGACAAAUAUUUUUAUGUAAUAUUUUUUAACAUUAUAUUGUAAAAUUAAACAUUUCAAAAUUUAUGAAAUCUAUAUAAUAAAAAGUAUAAUAACUUUAUAUUUUGAAUUAUUAUAAUGAAACAAUUAUUUGUGAAAUUAUCAUAUUAUAUAUUAUUAUUAUUAUUAUUAUUAUUAUUAUUAUUUUGGAUAAGUUAUUUAUAAUAUUUUUAAAAUAAUAAUUAAUGAAAUAAUAAUUUAUAAUUAAUUAUUAUAUUAUUUAUAUGCAUUAAUAUCUUCAGCCUUGAAUUCUUCAAAUGAGUGUAAGGCGUGCAUUAUAAAUUAUAAUUAAUUUAUAAUUUAUAAUUACUAUCCUUCCCGAUAUUUUAAAUUUUAGUGUGGUCGGUUCUUGAACAGGCCCAACUUCCAUUUAAUGGAUUCUAGGCAGAAGCCCAACCCAUAUUGCCACCACCUAUUUAUUGGUUUUUUGGCAAAAAGCCUAUCCAAGCAAGCCCGCCUUACAUUGCCACAUGCUGGGAUCAACCUUAAACCCACAAGCUGUGGACAUGUCAACACCUUGGAUGAGUAAUGUUUUUAAGGCCCUCCAUAUCCUUCUUACCAUCUGUUGUGGGAUUGAUGGACCUUAAGUUGGGGAGAUGACAUGGGCACCACUCUACAACACCCCUUUUGAUGCUUAUUAUAUCAAACAAAAGAAAAUAUAUUAUUUUCUAAAAGAAUUUAUAAUAACAAUAUAAUAUUUUUAAAAUUAUAAAAUUAUCCCUAUGCGAGCUUGACAGUCAAACUAAUGCAUUUACACACUUUACUAAAAACAUAAAAGGGUUUUGCUUGUUUGUUUAGUAAAGUCAAGCUUUGACUUUGUUAUUGAACGAUGAAUUUUCAUCUCUAUUAUUGAUUUUUUUAUUUAAAAUUAAAGUAUUUCAAAUUUAUUGUUAAAAAAGGUUUCAAAUUUAUUUAAAAUAAACAUAAAAAAUUUUAUCUUUAUUUUGUUAAAAAGAAAUUUUCAAUUUUAUUUUAAGAGAAAAGACUUCUCAGUUUUAUUAAAAAAAUUUAAAUUUUAUUAUUAUUUAAGAAAAAUAUAUUUUUUCUUAUUUUUUUUUACUUAAAAGAUGAUUUUGUAGUUUUAUUUCAAGUUAUACAAUGUUAUUUUAAAGAAGGAUUUGACUAUUUUAUUUAAAAGGAUUUUGUAGUUUUAUUUAGAAAAAAAUAUUUUUGAUAGUCUUUUCUUAAAAAGAUAUUUUCCUACACAGUUUAUUAAACAAAAUUUUUUUGGACAGUUUAUAUUUAAAAGACAUUUUUGGAUAGUUUAUUUAAAGACUAUUUUGGAAAAUUUUAUUUAAAAAUCGUUUUUGAUAUUUUUUAAAAUUUAAAGUCAUUUUGACAGUUUUGAUUAAAAAAAAAAUUAUUUGCACAAUUUUUAUUCAAAAAACACUUUAGGUAGUUUUUUUUUUAAAUUAUUUUUAAAAAUGACCUGGCAGUUUUUAUUUUAUCCUAAAAAAAGUUUAAAUGUUAUUUUUUAUUUAUAAAUAAAUAAAUAGGUAUACAAAACAGAAUAAGGGAAAAACCCAAAUAGGUAAUGCUCUUGCUAUAUAUACUCGUCUUUGCAUCACUCACCCCACACACAUUCUCUUUCUCCUUGUGCAUCACCUUUGCUUUUUUCAGUUAAGUGAGUCUCAUAGUCAACUUCUUACAUUCCUUUCUUGGUUAUUCUCUUGAUCAAAUAAUGUAGUACUGUGCUGUUUUGCUUUAAAGGCAUGUCAUCAUUUGAUAAGUGAGAAGCAGCUGAAGGAGAUGGGAGAAACCUGACCUCAGUCGGUUCCAUCCCAAAUGCCACAGCAAUCCAGGCAGCAAUUGUUAGGAAUGGGGUCAUUUCUUAUGGUAUCAAGAUGGAAAUAUUCAUAGAUCUUCCUAUUGUUGGAAAGAUAAGUAUACCCAUUGAGGCAACGGGAAUAGUACCCGUACGCUUACCUUUUAUGAAUAUGAAUGCUGAUAUUGGUGCUGAUGGUAAAGAGGAGGAGAUAUACAAUUAGCAUGUACUAAAAAAAUUGGUGGGUUUAAACAUGUCUUUUAUUUUAUUUUAUUUUUUCCCAACUAACUCAGGCUCAAAAUUCCAACUUAUAUUUACAAAUCCCCAUUUAAUAAUUUGUAUGUGAUUCAUCACCACUCUGAUCACUACCUUUACGUUGUUAUAGAACCUCCAUCUCACGCAUGUAUGCAUGCAUAGAGUACGUACACCUUUCUAGUAACAGAUGGAUAAAAACUAUUUUUAUGCAUGCUUCCUCGUAUUACUAACCUUGGUUGCAAAUUGCAAUAUGUGAUUGCUUUUAUUUUUUUCUUCUAUCUCAUGCAUUCACUUGUGCACACAAUUCAUUGUUUCCAAUUUCAAUUCUUGCAGAAUUAGAGAAGGACCAUAGAAGAUGUCAGCAAAAGUGGUUUCCAUGAUGAGUUUCUAUUCUUCUUUUAUUGUCUAAGGUCAUCCUAAUAAUGGAUUAUUAAUAUUAUGUAAUUGAUUUGUAUGAUGAGUGCUUUCUCUUCUUCUUUUAUUGUGUCUAGGUCAUCCUAGCUAAUAAAGGAUUAGUAUUAUGUAAUUGAGCCUAGGAUGUCAACUAUGGACGCAUAUGUAUAUCUUUGGAGUUGUUGCUAUAUAUUUAUAUUAUUAUGAAUGUGCAUGUUUGUGUUGUAUUGUCUUUUGUUGAUAGAUAUUGCAAUUUGCAAACGAAAUUACGGGUCCCUAAGGCAACAUAAUUUGCUUUGUAGAUAUUCAUGUAAAAAGAAACGAGGAUAUGCUACAACUUUAGGAAAUGUAAAAGGAAUGAGCAUUGGCCUUUGGAAUCAUGGUUAAUAGCAUCCCCUCCAUAAUUGAAAAUGCAUUAUAUAUUAAUGGUUUGAAACACAUUUUGCGCAUAUAUCACUUUGAUGACAAAUGUUUUAAGAGUUUAUUUUGGUCCAUCUUUAUUAAUUUAAAAAUAUUUGCAUGCAAAUAACUUAUUCUCAAUAAAAUUUAUUUUGAAUCAAUGAUGAAGCAUCUCUUGGUUACCAAAGAGAUAUCCAUAUAUAUAUAUAUAUAUAUAGUGAUAUCCGUAUAUAAUCUUUGAUCAAUCUAACCUCUUUGUUGACAAUUUGUUUGUUAAUGAUGGGCUUUGAAGUGGAAGAAAAAAUUAAUCAUAGCUUGGAUUAAAAAAAAAAAAAAAACAGAAGAAAGUUUUACUUUGUAGACUGAUUUUUCUUGAGGGUCAAGCUGAAAUUAAACAACACCUUCAUUUGUGAGCAAACCAAGUGGGAGGAUGGAAGGGGCUCCACAAAAACCCAGCAGAGGCCUACUCAGUACAGCCCAUUAGAAUAGUGUGCUAGCACUAAAAUAGCAAGCCAUAACACAACUGCUUUCUCUCUGUUGUCAUAGGGGUUGCACAUAAGAGGAGAAUGAGCAAGAGUUAUACAACCGGCUACCUCCACUUCGAUGGAGUCCUUUCCUAGUAAAAACUCAUGUUUUGGUUAUGCAACCAGACAACAAUUAUAAUCUAUUUAAUUUAAGUAAUUAAGUAGAUUAAGUAUACUUGUUAAAGUAAAUUACAACUAAAAACCAUUUUUAACUUUUAAGUGUCAAGUUAAAAUAGUUGAUUUGUUUUUAAUCUCAAAUUUUCUUACCUAAUUUGUCCACACUAGUGAAUAUAUUUUAAAAUUAUAAUUUCACACUCAUGACUCAUUUUUUAUAAUAAAUAUAUUAAAGUAAUCUUAUGCAUCUACAAUUUUAACAUUAACGAAAAUGAAAAUAAGUUAAAAUCAGUUAGGAUAAUUAUUAAUUAAAAUUAAUUUGUGUCGAUGAUUUAGAAUAAAUUUUAAGUUAACUUAAUAUUGAAUGCAAUUUGCUACUAAACCUCAAUUUAUUUUUAAUUUUUACUUAUUUACUAAUAUUUUUACUUGAAUAAAAAAAGUUAAAAUUUAUGACUUUUCCCUCUCUAUAAAUUUUACUAUUAUGAAAAUUACAAGAUAAUUAACAGUAAUAACAAAUUUUAAAACUUAGAAAAAAGUGUUGAGAUUUUUUCAAUGACUAUUAUUAUUGAAUGUUUAAAUUAAAAAUAAAUUAGAAAUACAUACUAUUAUCUUGGAAAUAGUGAGUAGCAUAGUUGUGAUACAAUUCAUUUACAUUAUUGUAAACAUAAUGUAGCAUAGUUGUAAACACCAAGAAUAGUAUUAUUAUAAAUAUUUCAAAAAGUAAGGACAGAUAUAAUAAAUGAUAUAAAUGUAAAUAUGAUAAAUGAUGUUGUUAUAAAUGUUUCUACAUAUGAGGUUAAACAAUGUGUCACAACAAAAAUCGUUCAAGUCUCUAUUACAAAUCAUAGAUUAAAAAUAAAUUAGUAAUAUAUUAUAAUGGUUAUUGCGUAAUUGUAAUACAAUGAAUUGACAUUUUUGUAAAUAUAAUAAGUAGCAAAAUUAUAAAUGCGAUGAAUAGUAUCAUUGUAAAUAUUUCAAUAAAUAAAGAUAAAUAUAAUAAUGACAUUAUAUUAAAUAUGACGCAUGUGUAGAUAUAAAAAAAGAAAAAUUGUAUUAAAUUACCACUAAAUUGAUCAUUAAAUUUGUGACUUUUUAGUUCAACAAAAAUUUGAUUUGACAAGGGAUGAAUCACAUAUGUUAAGCAUGUGACAUGUUGUUCAAAAGGUUACACAUGACAAAAUUUGGGAGGUCAUAAAAUCAAAUCUUACAAAAUAAAAUCAAAUAAAAUGAUUAAAGUCAAAUUAGAAGAAAAUAUUGUCAUGUUUAUAAAUUGUCUUCAAAAUGAAGGAAAUUAAGAAGAAAUAUUUUCAUGUCCACAAAUUUCUUAAGUGAACAAGACAAUUUGUUAAAAUCAAUGAGUCAAAUUCUUUGAAUUAAAGAAUUAAAUCUUAAGAAUUUCAAAUUUUAUUAUUUAAUUUCAUUCAUAAAUAAAGGUGACUUUCUAAGAUGAAGGUGGAUGGAAGAAAAAGCUUUACCAUAGAAAUUGCUUGAUAGGAGGGCUUCAAAAAGAUUAAUGCCCUCAUGCUCUCCAACAUGAUGAACAAGCUAUGCUAAAUCCCUCAAUUGAACUUCUUAUAAAAAAAAAAUCUUAUUAUCAUUCAAGUGGUUAACUCAAACAAAGUUUCACAAUAAAAGCUAUUUUUGGCUUUUAUUAUAGGUCACCGACCCAGAGAUCAAUAUUGUGAAACUUGUCCAUAUAUAUGGCCUCAGACAAGUCAAGUGGGAAUUAUUUGUUUAAGAACAAUGUACAAUGAAUGAUGUGUUGAACAAUUAGCAAAUUUAUGUGAAAUUAAAACAAUAACUUGGUGAUUGGAGAUAUUAAACUAAUUUAAAUUUUAAGUCAAACAUAAUAAAAGACUUUAUCCAAGAACUUGUAUUUGUAUGGAAUAAAAAUUGACUUCUUGUUUUAUAUGUUUUUACGAUUUUAUUGUUCAAGUCAUGAAGGCAUAUCAAACCAUCAAUCCUCUAGAUCUUCAUAAGUUGAUCAUAAAAAUACAAAUCCUUAUGCUACUCAAAACUUGUGUAUACAUCCCAUGAAACUUGUAUACAUUCAUGAUAUUACCAAAGAUUUGAAAAUUAGUCUAGAUUGAUCGGUUUCACCAGUUUAAUAAUAUAAUGAUCAUUACUAAAGUUAUAAAAUUCUAAUUUAUAUAAUUUGGACAUAUGGAUAAAAUUAAAUAAUAGAAAAUUUCCUCUAUUUUGUACAAGUUCAUAGUUAAACAUUAUGCAUAUUUUGUUUAAUAAAAUUUAAAAUAUUAAUAUAUCAUAUUUAUCUUAUGAUUUAAUUUGAUAAUAUUAAAGAUAAAAAAUAAAUAUAAUCAAAGUUUUUAAUUAUAUAUAUAUCUGGACAAUUAUAAUAAUUUUUUAUUUUAGUAAUAUAUAAAUUAUCUAUUUAGAACGUCAUGAUUGUUUAACAGUGCUUCAACUAUUGAUUUGAUUAUUGAACCAUGAAUCAAUAAUUUUUUUAAUUCAAUGACCAAUUCAGUUAUAAAAAUAUUAGACAUUAUUAUUUACUAACUAUAAAACUAGUCUAAACGAAGCCUAAAUGUGAAAGUUGGCUAAAGGGAAGGGCCACCUUCAUUCCAAUGUUAUAAAAGAGAGUGGGGUUUUUAUUUCCAUGAACUGCUUAGCUACAUACAACAAGAAUUUUUCCAUUUCAUCUUGGCUAGAUCUUGAAAUUAAUUUUCAAUAUAAACUAUAUAGAAAACAAAUUCUCAUUUUUCCUUCACUUUUAAUGCCCGGAAGUAUUGAAUUAUUUUGGAAAAAAUUAUAAGAAUAAUAAAGAGAAUCAUAUCAAUGUAACUCCUAAAUAGUGCCAGAGCAAGAAAAUCUCACAUUUUGGUAAGUUUGUUGAAAGUAUAGUGACAUGUCUAAUACAAGGCAUUUCAAAACAACUUAAUGCUUACUAGUAAUAGUCUUGUCCUAUUUAAGAAAUUAGUUGUUAUUCUCAAAUACUUUAAUUCCUUCAAAUAGGGAGGGUUGUGUUUGGGUAAUCGCUCUUGAAUCCAUCUUCUAGUGAUUGUGCUUUCAUGUCGAGGGACUUUACAUAUUAUAAUAAAACCUCAAUAAAUAAACCUUGGAUAAAUUAAUAGUUUCGAUUAAAAAAUAAAAUCUUUUGGUCUCAAGCCAAUUUACAAAAUUAAUAACCUUGUUGAAUGUACAAGAUAAUGUUUUUUUUUUAUUAAAAAAAAUCCUUAAAACCCAAGAAAAUAUAAAUUAAUAAUUGAAGUCCACAAAAAAUAGAAAAAAUAAAUUUAUAAUACCAUAUUUAGUAAUGUUUUUAAAACUUAUAUUUUUCUCAAUUCAAUAUUUUCUCAAAACCAUAGCAUAUUUAAAAUCUCUUUAUCUUAUAUAAUAUUAACUUUUGAUAUAAUAUUUCUUCCUUUUAGAACUUUUUUUGAACUUUUAUAAUUAAUAACCAUAUCUUUUUUUAGAGUGUUAAGUUUCUAUGUAUUAAUUUUUUAAUACAUUCAUAAUUUUUGAUUUACAAAUCAUACUUGUAUAAUUACUUACAAAAGAAACAUAACACUUUUUUUUUUAUAAAUUACUAAUUAUUCAUUUAUUAAUAAAUCAAUAACCUCAUUAAAAUAAUAAUUUCUUUUGGUCUCGAGUGUUAUUUUAUAGACGUUUUAUUAUAGGUUCUUUUGAUGUAAUGCUUUUACUUUUCUAAAUUUUCAACAAAGCCAUGACCAAGAAAAUGAAAAAUGGCAAAGAUAAUAUGUUAGUUUACAACUCAUUCAUCCAAGUUAAGUCUAUUAGAGACUAGAAUAAUAUGAAUUGAUUAAAUAAAUGGAAAGACCUUAUUACACCAAUAAAAGAAUUAUAACUAAAUUCUUAAGUAUCAUUGAUCAAAUCGCAGUAUAUUUGCCCUAUGAAUUGAUGGUUUGAUGUGCCUCUACAUUUGCACACAAUAUGAGAUAUAACUAUUCAAGCAUUUGGGAAAAUAACUAGAAUGUCGGGUACUAGGAAUUGGUUACAAAAUAUUUAUGAAGUUAAUGGAUAUGAAAUAUCCUCAACAACACAUUCAUUGCUUAAUAUCAAUACAUAUAGGCAAGAAUAAUACUAAUAACGUUUCCUAAAUUCACUAACAAAUUAAAUCAUGGAGAGUUGAAUUGUAGCAAUCUAGAAAUAUCGAGCUUUAGAGCAAAGCAUACAAAAGAUCUAGCUUAUUUAUUGAAAAAAAUCAAGACACAUAAAGAGAAAAACCUUCCUCUAUUUACUUUAAAUGAAGGAAAUAUCAUUAGCUAGCGUCUCUCUACCAAGGAUGGUAUCUGUGCAGCUUCUCAAAAGAAGGAAAGCUCGCAUACCUGACAAAAAAAUGAAGACAAUAAAAACAAAAGGCCCUUAUUCUAAGAUAAGAUAAUAUAUAUAUAUAUGCAAACACUAUGUCAAAGAAAAAUACAAACACCUAUUCAUUUUUCUUCAUAUAGAAAAUUAAAUCAGUCGUCCUGGUUGUGGUUUGUCAUCAUCCUCGUCCUCCUGUUCAUCCUCUUCAUCCUCUUCCCCCUCUUUAUCUCCAAUGCGACUCCCACCUCUUUCUCUCUCUCUCUCUCUCAUCCACAUCUCAUACUCCUGUUCAUUGACCUCAUCAUCAUUAUCAUCCACGUUGCGGCCUGUCAUCAUCCACAUCCUCGUGUUCAUCCUUUUCCUCCUCUUUAUCUCCCUGUCCCACUCCCACCUCUUUCUCCCUCUCAUCCCAAUCUCUAUCAACCGCAUCAAAUCCUCAUUUUCAUUGACCUCAUCAUCAUCAUCAUCGUCAUUGACCACAUCAUCAUCAUCAUCGUCACUAUCUCCAUAAUUCCAUCCUACAUAAUCCUGAGCAUUCGGUACACAAAACAUCACAAUGGGUAGGAAUAAGGAAAAGUAUAAUAAUAAAAGUUUAAAAAAGCAAUUAGGAUGGGAGCACAAAUCAUAGAAUGGUAGAUCAAACCACUGCUAUAUUAUAUCCUUGUCUCCUCUAGAAGUGAUAGUGUAUUUUGGGCUAGAGUUGGACAACAUUUAAUAAAGACCCAUAAACAACGUUAAGUCCUAGAAGGUUCUUCUAUUCACAAAUGAGAGUAAGAAUUUCGUAUAAUUGUCUGUCUUUAACCUUUGACCAAAGGAAGGACAUCACUAUCAAUAUGAACAUGUCAAUUGCCGAUCUCCAAAGAUUGAAUGUUUUUGUUAACAAAAUUAAAAAUUAAAAAUUGUGUGAUUAAAUGUUUACAAUAAGUGACAAAGACUAGACAUUCCUUACUUCACUUAUUGCCCUUAAAUGAUGUGUAUUCCAUCAUAAAAUUAAUUUUCGAUACUUUGAAACAAAUCUAAGCAAAAGAAAAUUUAUCUUUUCUUUGUACUUUUGCUUGUGACUAAUUGAAUUGAUAGUUUGUGAAACCCAACACAAGUAUCAUUCACUCUAGGUUCUAACAACACUUCAAUUUUCUAAUCCAAUUAAACUCCUUAACUCAAAAACAAAGUAGAAAAGGAAAACACUGUGUACAAUAAAUAAUCAUUUUCUAUCUAAUAUCCAAUAUUAUCCUCAAUCAAACAUCAAAUAUUAAAGAAUUUUCAAAUUUUGAGAAUGAUUUACCUGCAAAUGUAAUUGACUGGUUGCCCCAAGAGCCUCAAGAUCCUUCUCAAACAUCACCUCGACAAUUAUAAACUAAAGAAAAUUUUGUUAAUAUAUUGGUUUGGAAUAUUUGAGAAUAUGAAAAUAUGUGAAAAAAAUAGACUCUUUAUAAAGGGAAAUUGGUAAAUUUCUUUCAACAAUAUAAACUUGAGAGACAUUUUUUUUUUAUGUAUAAUAACAUGGUUAUUCAAAGCUUCCACUGAUGCAACAACCCCAAUCUUAGAAAAACAACAAAAAAUCAAAGAUCUUCUGUGUCAUUUCUUGAAUAAUUGACAACUUAAUAAUCAAUUUUUUUCUCUAAGUACUAUAGCUUAGCAAUUUAACUAGGUUAGAUGCAAAACUAAUUCUCAUGUAUUUGUAUUCUAACUUAUAAUUUCAACCAUAAUAAUAGACUUUGUCUCAAGGUCUACAUUUGAACUAACUGAAAAUCUAUGUAUGAAUAUUUUGGCAAACACUUUUUGCACAAAAAAUCCUUUGACCUCUUCUUACUUGCCUUUAAAUUUGUUGAAAUUCCUAGGAAUGCUUUAGUUAUGUUUAAAAGGUUAGGCAUCACAGAGUGAUAGGUAUAGCUACUAAGCUAAGGGAACAAUUAACAACUAACAAAGCAAACUUAACCAAAACAGACAAUAAACCAAGUAACAACAAACAAUAAGAGCAUAAAAGGAUCCAUACAAACCCAUGCAGAAUUUUGCUUCCAUCAAAUCAGGUUCCUUGUACUAAAAAAAUUAAACAGACUAAACAUAACACAAACAUUAUAUGGGCUUGCUCUGUGUCUUUUUCUUAAAGUUAGACAAAUUUUUAAAGAAUCGCGAAGGUGAAAAAUAGUGUUAAUAAUACAAUAACAUUAGAAAAUUUCAAGAUAUAUACCUUCUCCAAAGUUGUAUUUCGGAUGAUGGUAUUGAAGUCACACCCCAAAUGUUCUUCCACAUGAUCGUCAAUUUUUACUUCCUUUACCCUUGGUGUACUUGCGACUCUCUCACAAAAAAAUUCCAUCUGAGGGCAUCUUUUCACCAAAAAUUGUUCCAAGGAUGGGAAUUUGAAGAUGCAUCUAGCUGAGUAGAACCAUUUUAGACUUUGUAAGUUAACAAGUCUCAACCUUUGUAAUUUGGAGAAAACAAUAUCAUAUGGUUCUUCACCUCCCUCAUGUCUAACUAUUUCUUCCACCAAUUCGCAUUUUUCUAUAGUAAGCACUUUGAGUUGCACCAAUGUUUUAGCCAUUGAGGACGUCACUAGAUAUAUUAAAUUUCCACAACCAUGUACUUCUAUAGAAUGAAGAUUCUUAAAAAUUUGACCCAAUCCAGAUAGAUAUGUCAACAAAGGUAGAUCUUCUAGGAACAUUUUAGUUAAUCGUGGGAGUGCCUCAACUUGAUAUUCCUUAUCAACAAGUUCGAAUACCUCUUUCACUGAAUUACACUUGCUCACAUGAAGUUCCUCUAGAUUAUGCAACUUUGGAAGCACAUUGGAGGGGAUCACAACCAAAAUGUCGUGACACUUUCUUAUCUUCAAAAGUCUCAGCUUGCAAAAUGACUCCCCUAAAAAUUGGCCUUGCCAUAUUUUCAUCUUGGAGCCCUUUAAGAUCAAUUGCUCCAAAUUAAGGAAUGCAUCCUGACAACCAAACAAACAAGAUUAACGAUAUGUCUUGUAUCUCUUUCCCCCCCCCCCCCCCUUCUUUUCUUUUUGGCUAAAUAAAUAAGUUCUAUACACAAUUGUAUGUACAAAAAUAUUUUAAAAUAAAGUAAGAAAGAAUACUCUUAUGGCAUACAAUUUUUUUUUUUUCUUAUUGUUAUGACUUAUAACUAAAGACCACGUUUGUUUACUUACCAAUUUUUUUUAAAAAAAAAGUCUACUAUAAUUUCCUUUCUAAUUUAUACUUAAGUACAUGAUUUUAGUUUCUUUUCUAUGUAUUUCAUCCAACGAACUAUGCAAAAAAUAAGUUAGGGGGAAAAAAAAUUUAGGAAUUAAUUUCAAGGAAAAAAAAAAGAAAAAGAAAAUUACUUAUGUAGCCUAAUAGCUAAUCAACAUUGGCUUUACAACUAAUGUCACCAUUAAACACAUACACAUAUUAUUUUCCAUACGAGAUAACAAACCACUACAUCUAAAUAAUCCAUUUGAAUUAUUUGCACUAUAUAUUAAUCACCAAAGACUCCCGAAUCAUUCGCACUUGACAUAUUAUAAUAAUUUGUUGGUUCUAUUACAUAAAAUUAUAAUUUGACCAUGAAGGUAUAAUUGUUGGAUAAACCAUAAUGCAUGCUAUACCUACAAACUCCUAUGACUUGUAAUCAAUUGUUUCUUAUUCUUUGGAUUACCAAGUCAUUUUAUCGUAAUUUGAUUAAUUUAGAAAUGGAACAUAAGCUUACUUAGGUCAAUUUGGGAUAAGUUUUAUACAAAAUGUAAACUUCAAAUUCCUACACUAUUCCAGUUUAAGAUUAAAACAAUCUCAUAUUAAUGAAAAAUGAUUAGGACAUAGUGUUUAAUGGACUAAAUUUAGCAAUCAAAAUAUGGCAAAAGAAAUGGAGAAAAAUCAAACCAUACCUUUUCCAACCAAAAGAAAGGUUGUUGAAUUGGACUAUCAAUACAACCUUUUGAAUCUAUUCCUUGAAAAAGUGUCUCCACUUGAUUGCAUUUCCACAUAAUUAGUUGUUUCAAAUGUGGCCAUCUUGCAAUAUAUUUUCCUCGGGAGAAACCUUUGAGUUUGUCUAAUUCUUCAAGUAUGAGAGAGGUUAGUUUAGGGAAUAAUGAAGACAUUAUUUCAUCUCCAUUUUCGUUUGCAACAAUUUCCUCCACUCCACAUUUUCUUAUCCCAAGGACAUUAAAUUGCACAAGGCCUUUUGCUAUUGUUACAGGAAAAAGGCAUUUCAAGCAAGGACAAUCAACGAUACAUAAUGACCAUAGGUUUUGAAAGGAGACAAGUCCUUGAGGAUCCUUAUUCCAUACACUCUUCAAACUAUUUAGCCCUUUUAAAGACAAUUUUCCCAAUGGAAUGAUUUCCUCGCAAUUUACUCCCCCUAGAUCAAAAAUCUCUUCUAUCGAAUCACAAUAAUAUAUGUUCACAUUCUCCAGACUUUGUAACCCUUUUAGGAUAUUGGAUGGAAAAACAUUCAACAGUUUGUUGCAACUUAAUAUUUGUAAUCUUUUCAAUUUGCAACAAGACUCUAGAGGAAGUUGGUUGGGCCACAUUGCUAUCACAUUAUCCAACUCGUACAUCAACAAGGACUCCAAGCUAGGGAGUGUAACCUGCACAAUCGAUCACAUUCAGUUCACAAUAUGUAUACCCAUGUAUAUAUAUAUUCGCGAUUGAGUUAAUAACCAGAUACAUAAAUAAAUAGAAUAUAAGAGGUUAAAGGUCAAGAUAUCAAUGUGACAAAGCACCAAACUAGAAGAAAAUAAAAGAGAAUGCAUAAUAUUUUAACAAUUGAAUGGAAUUUAAAGAUGUUAAAUUUGAGAUGAUUUUCAAAUGGGGCAAAAGGCUCCCAAUCUUUGGAUCUCUUUUUCAAAAUUGACAAAGACUAAUGGAUUAUAUAUAGAUAUGUUUCAUAGUCUUAUGAGAAGUAUCUACUCUUUUUACCUUGAAUUGAUUUCAUUCAAAAUAUUCCACAUAAAUACAAUAAAAAUAACUAUUAAACAAGGUGGUUGAAGAUCAGGUGAUUUAGAUGAGGCCUUUCCUUCUAGUUUUUUCUUACUUUGGAAACCACAAAUGCAAUGGAUGCUCAGGCAUGAGCCUUCUUUCAUUAAUGAACCUAGCCUUUAGAUUCUUAAAGCUUGUUUGUUGGUGUAACAUAUAUAUAUAUAUAUUUGAGAACAACAUUUUUUUAAAUUUACAACAGUAUUUGAAAGUUGUUCUAUAAUCAAUUUUUAAAAAGAAAGUAAAAUAAAGAAUAGAUUUUAGAAAAUAAGUAGAAGUUACUUUCAUCUAUUUUUAAAAACAAAAGGAAACUAUCAACAAAUAAAAAAUAUAUAUUUAAAAAAAAUCAUUAAAAAAAUAAAGUUUAACAAAAUUUCAUGCCUCUAAAUUACACAAAUUUUUUCUAAAUUUCUUUUAACUUAAUUUUUUUUACUAUACAAAUAGAUUCUAAAUCAAGUUACAUUUAAUAUAUAUAUAUAUAUAUAUAUAUAUAUAUAUAUAUAUAUAUAUAUAUAUAUAUAUAUAUAUAUAUAUAAUUACUAAUUUUAAAAAAUAAUUUUAGAAUAAAAAAACUAAGGCAAUAAAUACUAGAAAAUCAUGGAACUUAAAAUCAAUCUAACAAAUAUUAAAAAAUAACAAUUUAAAUCUAAUCUUGAAUUACUUUAUCAAUUUCUUCUUUACAAUAACUAUUCAAUAGGUAAAUAAACCUCAAAUCAAGGAAGACUUGAUGUAUUGGAAUCUAGCAAGUUUAACAAUAAUUUAAAACUUUAAUACUAAUCUAAUGAAUACAAAAAAUUUAUGAAUGAAAAUUGGUUCAAAAGAACCAUAGACAAAUAAACUCUAAAUCAAAUAAGACUUAAUAUUUAGAUUCAUUACCAAGUCUAUUAAAUUUAAAAAGUAAUUUAUGAUUCAUAAAAUAACCCAAUCACCACUAGAAAUUCAACGACUAAAACUAGUCUAGAACAACUCUUUUUUUUACUUCUCCUCUAUACGUAAAUAUUUUGAUGAUUUUUUUGUUAGAAAAUAAAUUUUAAAUCAAACAAAACUUAAAAGUUUUAGAUUUAUUAAUGAGUGCACUCAUUUUUAAAAAUAAUCUUGAACUCAAAAAUAAGUUUAAACAAUAAUUGAAUAGAAUAGACCAAAACUAGUCCAAAAUGAGUCGAUGAGAGCUAUAUUGUUUCUCCUUCGCACCUUACCAUACUUUUCCAAUUUUUCUCAUUAAGUAAAUAAAUUAAAUAAAGUGAUAUCAAAACUUAAUGCUUUACAUACUGUAAUGAAUCUAUUAAUUUUUAAGAACAAGAUGGAAUUACAAAAAUUGACUGAAUAAAUUUUAAAUUGAAUCAAAAUUGGUUCAAAAUACUUUAUCCAUUAUUGAAUAUUGAAAAAUCUAACUUAUUUACAUAUAUAUAAAAAAAAUUAACAUUAAUUUUUAAUUUGUUUUAAAUAAAAUAUUAUUAAUUAUUAGUAUUUUUAAAUUAUAAUCAUUCAUUUUUAACAAAAAAUCAAUUAUGCAUUUGUAAAAAUGUUGAUAUCCAUAUUUUAUAAUUUAUAUUAAAAUGCCCCAAUUUCUAAAUUUUAAAAAAACUCAUGAUUUUAUUAUAAUAUUAGUAUCCAUAUUUUAUUACAAACCAUUUAUUUUGUUAAUUUAUUAGUAAUUAAAAAAAUUUAUUUCCAUAAGACUUGAAUUAAAUCGAAUUAAUAUUAUAUAAAUCAACUUUACAAAUUUUAUUUUUUUUUUUACAAAAUCUAAAUAUAACAUUUAUUUUUAAAAACAGCAAUAUUUAAUAAACGAACCAGGUUUUAAUCUUUUUGUUGUUUAAAAUGUGUUUCUCAAAACAUUUCAAACACUCUUUAUGUUGAGAACAAAAAAACAAGAAAAUUAUUUGGCAACUACCAAAAAAAAAUUCUGCUCUCCAAAACAAAAAACAUGUGUUUCAGCAUAUAUUUCAGUUAUUCUAAUUGUUUUCACUUACUUUUUUUGUUUAUUUAAAAAAAAUAAAACAAAUAUAAAGAAUAAUAAAAAAUAAAACAUUCCGCAUAAAAUUUAUUCUUAAAAAAUAUUUGAAAACAUAAAAAAUAAGUUGAAAACAUUGUAAAUUGUUAAUAUACCUAUCAAAAAAAAAAAUUUGUAAGUUAUUAAUGUACUCUACUCUAGAAAAACAUCAUAGAAUUAUUUUAAAAUUUGUUCUCAAAAAUUGAUUUUUGAAUAAUGUAUUUAAAUUGGUGUUGAAUUAAGAUUAGCAGAGAGACUAGGAAAGAAAAGGAAAGUGAUAAAAUUUAUGGGGCAAAGCAUACUGCAUCCAUAUUAUGGAUAAAAUUAAGAUAAUUUUAAAUUGAAUACUGGUUGUUUUAAUUUAUGUUUUCUCAUAUUUUACUUAUUUAUUAAUGGCAGAAAUUGGAUAUCAUUCAAAUUUUAACAUACCUGUUCAUUGAAGAAUGGUGUGGGAACAUCACUCGUACAUAACUCCUGGGUAGCACUGCUUCCUGUGGAGGAGAAGUCCCGUGUCGAAUCCAAGGAUCCCAUUUGACGAUUCACCCAUCGAUCCCUUCCUUGCUCCAUGGGAAGGAAAUUGAAAGAUUUCAACCUCUUACAAUCAUCCACUCUUAGAAAACGUGACUUCCCAAAAGAUCCCUCUGGAAUUGCGCCAUCUUCCUCUUCUUUGACCUCAUCAUCAUCAUCAUAAUCAUCAUCGUCGUUGACCUCAUCAUCAUCAUCUCCAAAAUCCCGUUCUUCAUAAUCCUGGGUAUACGGUACACAAAACAUCACAAUGGGUAGGAAUAAGGAAAAGUACAAUAAUGAAAGUUUAAAAAAGCAAUUAGGAUAGGAGCACAAAUAAUAGAAUGGUAGAUCAAACCACUACUAUAUUGUAUCCUUGUCUCCUCUAGAAGUGAUAAUGUAUUUAGCCCAAAAUCUUGAGCUAGAGUAGAACAACAUUUGAAAAAGACCCAUAAACAGCCUUAAGUCCUGGCAUGUUCUUUUAUCCACAAAUGAGAGUAAGAAUUUCAUAUAAUUGUCUACCUUUAACCUUUGACCAAAGGAAGGACAUCACUAUCAUUAUGAAGAAGUCAAUUGCCUAUCUCCAAAGAUUCAAUGUUUUUGUCAACAAAAUAAAAAAUUAUAAGUUGCAUGAUUAAAUGUCUACAAUAAGUGUCAAAGAAUGGACAGUCCUUAUAUAACUUACUACCCUUAAACGAUGUGUAUUCCAUCAUAAAAUUAAUUUUCGGUACUUUGAAACAAAUCUAAGCAAAAGAAAAUUUCUCUUUUCUUUGUACUUUUGCUUGUGACUAGCUGAAUUGAUAGUUUGUGAAACCCAAUACAAGUAUCAUUCACUCAAGGUUCUAACAAUACUUCAAUUUUCUAAUCUAAUUAAACUCCUUAACUCAAAAACCAAGUACAAAAGGAAAACAUUUUCUGUCUAACUUCCAAUACUAUCCUCAAUCAAACAUUAAAUAUCAAAGAAUUUUGAAAUUUCGAGAAUGAUUUACCUCCAAAUGUAAUUGAGUGGUUGUCCCAAGAGCCUCAGGAUCCUUCUCAAACGUCUCCUUGGCAAUUAUAAACCAAAGAAAAUUUUGUUCAUAUAUUGGUUUGGAAUAUUUGAGAAUAUGAAAAUAUGUGAAAGAAGAUAGACUCUUUCUAAAGGGAAAUGGGUAAAUUUCUUUCAACAAUAUAAACUUUAGAGACAUUUUUAUUUUUAUGGAUAAUAACUUGGUUAUUCAAACCUUCCGCUGAUGCAUUAACCCCAAUCUUAGAAGAACAACAAAAACUCAAAGAUCUUCUCAUCUAUCAUUUCUUGAAGAAUUGACAACUUAAUAAUCAGUUUUUUUUCUCUAAGUAUAAUAGCUUAGCAAUUUAAUUAGGUUAGAUGCAGAACUAAUUCCCAUGUCUUUGUAUUCUUACUUUUAAUUUCAACCAUAAUAUCGGACUCUAUUUCAAGGUCAACAUGUGAACUAACUGAAAAUCUAUGUAUGAAUAUUUUGGCAAACACUUUUUGCACAAAAAACCCUUGACCUCUUCAUACUUACCUUUAAAUUUGUUGAAAUUCCUGGGAAUGGUUUAGUCAUGUUUUAAAGGUUAGGCAUCAAAGAGUGAUAGGUAUAGCAACUAAGCUAAGGGAACAAUUAACAACUAGCAAAGCAAACUUAACCCAAACAGACAAUAAACUAAGCAAUAACAAACAAUAAGAGCAUAAAAGGAUCCAUACAAACCCAUGCAGAAUUCUGCUUCCAUCAAAUCAGGUUCCUUGUACAAAAAAAUUAAACAGACUAAACAUAGCACAAACAUUAUAUGACCUUGCUCUGUGUCUUUUUCUCACAGUUAGAAAAAUUUUUGAGAAAUGAAAAAGAAAUAAAAUUAGAAUUCACAAAUUUUUAAAGAAUUGCGAAGGUGAAAAAUAGUGUUAAUAAUAUAAUGACAUUCGAAAAUUUCAAGAUAUAUACCUUCUCCAAAGCUGUAUUAGGGAUGAUGGUAUUGAAGUCACACCCCAAAUGCUCUUCCACAUGAUCAUCAAUUUUUACUUCCUUUAACCUUGGUGUACUUGAGACUCUCUCACAAAAAAAUUUCAUCUGAGGGCAUCUUAUCACCUCAAAUUGUUCCAAGGAUGGGAAUUCGAAGAUGCAUCUAGUUGAGCAAAACCAUUUUAGACAUUGUAAGUUAACAAGUCUAAUCCUUUGUAAUUUGGAGAAAACAAUAUCAUAUGGUUCUUCACCUCCCUCAUGUCCGACUAUUUCUUUCACCGAUUUGCAUUUUUCUAUAGUAAGCUCUUUGAGUUGCACCAAUGUUUUAGCUAUUGAGGAUGUCACCACAUAUAUUAAAUUUUCACAACCACAUACUUCUAGAGAAUGAAGAUUCUCAAAAAUUUGAACCAAUCCAGAUAGAUAUGUCAACAAUGGUAGAUCUUCUAGGACCAUUUUAGUUAAACGUGGGAGUGUCUCAACUUGGUAUUCCUGAUUCACAAGUUCCUUCAUUUGGAAUACCUCUUUCACUGAAUUACACUUGCUCACAGAGAGUUCCUUUAGAUUAUGCAACUUUGGAAGCAUACUACAAGGUAUCACAACCAAAAUGUCGUGACACAUUGUUAUCUCCAAAUAUCUAAGAUUGCAAAAUGACUCCCCUGAAAAUUGGCCUUGCCAUAUUUUCAUUUUGGAGCCCUUUAAGAACAAAUCCUCCAAAUUAUGGAAUGCAUCCUGACAACCAAACAAACAAGAUUAACAAUAUGUCAUAUAUCCCCCACCCAAAAAAAAAAAAAAAGAAUACUCUUAUGGCAUACAAUUUUUUUUCUUAAUGUUAUGACUUAUAACUAAGGACCAUGUUUGUUUACUUACCAAAUUUAAAAAAAAAAAAAAAAAACUAUAAUUUCCUUUCUAAUUCAUACUUAAUUACAUGAGUUCAGUUUCUUUUUUAUGUAUUUCAUCCAAUGGCCCAUGCCAGAGAUUAAGUUAAGAGGAAGAAAAAUUUAGGAAUUAAUUUCAUGGAAAAAGAAUAAGAAAAAGAAUAAUUUAAGGGGAAAAAAAAAAUAAAAAGAAAAAUAAAAUUACCUAUGUAGCUUGAUGGCAAAUCAACAUUGGCUUUACCACUAAUGUCACCAUUAAACACAUACACAUAUUAUUUUCCAUACUAGGGAUAAUGAACCACAACAUCUGAAUAAUCCAUUUGAAUUAUUUGCACUAUAUAUUAAUGACCAAAGACUCUCUCCUAAAUCAUUAGCACUUGACAUAUUUUGAUGCAAUAUAGAAAUUACUAUAUCUUGGUUUGAGAAUAAUUUAAAUAAAUUAAUUCUUAUGGCUUUAUAUGAAUUCUAUGAGUUCAAUAUUAAUGUAAGCAUAAUAUAAAAAAAGAGGCUUCAAAAUAAUUUAUUUUCAUUAUAGGUUCAAUCAUGUUAAUUUAAAUAAAUCAAUUGUUUAAAUUUAUUAUAAUCUGUUGGUUCUAUUACAUAAAAUCAUAAUUUGACCAUGAUAAUUCAUACUAAGUGAGUACCUAAAUAAUUUGAUUAGUCAUAAAACAUAAAAGCAUAAAGGUAUAAUUUCACUGGCACUCAGCGCUCUUUCAUUCCAUUGUGUAAUUGUUGGAUAAACCAUAAUGCAUGUUAUGCCUACAAACUCCUAUGACUUGCAUUUGACUGUUUCUUAUUCUUUGGAUUACCAAGUCAUUUUAUCGUAAUUUGAUUAAUUUAGAAAUGGAACAUAAGCUUACUUAGGUCAAUUUUGGAGAAGUUUUAUACAAAAUGUAGACUUCAAAUUCCUACACUAUUCAAGUUUAAGAUUAAAACAGUGUCAUAUUAAUGAAAAAUGAUUAGGACAUAGUGUUUAAUGAACUAAAUUUAGCAAUCCAAAUAUGGCAAAAGAAAUGGAGAAAAAUCAAACCAUACCUUUUCCAACAAGAAGAAAGAUUGUUGAAUUGGACUAUCAAUAUAACCAUCUGAGUCUAUUUCUUGAAAAAGUGUCUCCACUUGAUCACAUUCCCACAUCAUUAGGUUUUUCAAAUGUGGCCAUCUUGCAAUACAUGUUCCUCGAUAGAAACCUUUGAGUUUGUAUAAUCCUUCGAGUGUGAGAGAGGUUAGUUCAGGGAAUAAUGAAGACAUUACUUCACCUCCAUUUUCAUUUGCAACAAUUUCCUCCACUUGACAAUCUUCUAUCAUUAGGGAUUUAAGUUGCACAAGGCCUUUUGCUACCAUAAUUGGAAAAAUAUAUUUUAAAUAAGGACACCUAACGACUUCUAAUGACUGUAGGUUUUGAAAGGAGACAAGUCCUUGAGGAUCCUUAUUCCAUAUUCGCUCAGUGGAAUGGUUGCAUUAUCAUGAAUUUCCUUGCAAUUUACUCCCUGUAGAUCAAAAAUCUCUUCUAUGGAAUCACAAUCUGAUAUUUGCACAUCAUCCAAACUUUGUACCCCUUUUAGGAUAUUUGAUGGAAAAACAUUCAGCAAUUUGUUGCACCUGAAUAUUACCAACUGUUUCAAUUUGCAACAAAACUCUAGAGGAAAUUCGUUGUGCCACAUUGCUAUCACAUUAUCCAACUCGUACAUCAACAAGGACUCCAAGCUAGGGAGUGUAACCUGCACAAUCGAUCACAUUUGGUUAACAAUAUGUAUACCCAUCUAUAUAUAUUCCCAAUUGAGUUGAUAACCAAACAUAUAUAAAUAGAAUAUAAGAGGUUAAAGGUCAAGACAUCAAUGUGACAAAGAACAAAACUAGAAGAAAAUGAAAGAGAAUGCAUAAUAUUUUAACAAUUGAAUGGAAUUUAAAGAUGUUAAAUUUGAGAUGAUUUUUAAAUGGGGCAAAAGGUUCCCAAUCUUUGGAUCUCUUUUUCAAAAUUGACAGUCUAAUGGAUUAUGUAUGCAUUUGAAGCACCCAUGAUAGUCACCUAUUGAUUUGUUUCAUAGUCUUAUGAGAAGUAUCUACUCUUUUUACCAUGCAGCCAUUCCAUUCAAAAUAUUCCACAUAAAUACAAUAAAAAUAACUAUUAAAGCAGGGUGGUUAGAGAUUAGGUGGUUUAUGAUGAGGCAUUUCCUUCUAGUUUUUUCUUACUUUGAAAAUCACAAAUGCAUAGAUGCUCGGACAUGAGCCUUCUACAUUCACUAAUUAACCUAACUUUUAGAUUCUUAAAGCUUGUUUGUUAGUGUAGCAUAUACAUAUAAAUUUGAGAAUGAUAUUUUUUUACAUUUACAACAAUAUUUGAAAGUUUUUCUUGAAUUAAUUUUUAAAAACAGAGUAAAUAGAGAAUUGUUUUUAGAAAAUAAGUAGAAGUUACUUUCAUCUAUUUUUAAAAACAAAAGGAAACCAUCAACAAAUAAAAAAUAUAUAUUUUUAAAGAAAAUCAUUAAAAAUAAAUAAAGUAUAACAAAAUUUCAUGCCUCUAAAUUACACAAUUUUUUUCUAAAUUUCUUUUUUAACUUAAAUUUUUUUUACUUUACAAACAGAUUCUAAAGCAAGUGACAUUAUAUAUAUAAUUUACUAAUUUUUAAAAAUAAUUUUAGAAUAAAAAAACCAAUCCAAUAAAUACUAGAAAAUCAUGGAACUUAAAAUCAAUCUAACUAAUAUUAAAAAAUAACAAUUUAAAUCUCAUCUUGAAUGACUUUUUUUAAUAGGUAAAUAAAACCCAAAUCAAGGAAGACUUGAUGUAUUAGAAUCUAACAAGUUUAACAAUAAUUUAAAACUUAAAUGCUAAUCUAAUUAAUACAAAAAAUUUAUGAAUGAAAAUUUGUUCAAAACUAUAGACAAAUAAACCAUAAACCACGUAAGACUUAAUAUUUAGAUUUGCUACCAAGUCUAUUAAAUUUAAAAAGUAACUUAUGAUUCAUAAAAAUAACCCAAUCACCACUAGAAAUUCAACAACUAAAACUAGUCUAGAACAACUGUUGUUUACUUCUCCUCUAUAUAUAAUUAUAUUUUAAUGAUUUUUUUAUUAGAGAAUAAAUUUUAAAUCAAGCAAGACUUAAAAGUCUUAGUUUUAUUAAUGAGUGCACUCAUUUUUUAAAACAAUUUGGAACUCAAAAAUAAGCUUAAACAAUAAUUAAAUAUAAUAGAUCAAAACUAGUCCAAAAUGGGUCAUGAGAACUAACUGUUUCUCCUUUGCACCUCACUAUACUUUUCCAAUUUUUCUCAUGAAGUAAAUAAAUUAAAUAAAGUGAGAUCAAAACUUAAUGCUUUACAUUCUGUAAUGAAUCUAUUAAUUUUUCAGAAUAAGAUGGAAUUAAAAUAAUUGAUUGAAUUAAUUUUAAAUUGAAUCAAAAUUGAUUCAAAAUACUUUAUCCAUUAUUGAGUAUUGAAAAAUCUAACUUAUUUACAUAUAUAAAAUUAUUAAACUUUAAUUUAUAAUUUAUUUUCAAUAAAAUAUUAUUAAUCAUUAAUAUUAUAUAAACCAAUUUUACAUUUUUUAUUUUUUUUUACAAAAUCUAAAUAUAACAUUUAUUUUUAAAAAACAGCAAUAUUUAAUAAACGAACGAGGUUUUAAUCUUUUUGUUGUUUAAAAUGUGUUUCUAAAAACAUUUCAAACACUCUUUAUUUUGAGAACAAAAAAACUAGAAAAUUUUUUGGCAACUACCAAAAAAAUAAAAAAAAAUUAUGCUCUCCAAAACAUAAAACAUGUGUUUCCUGUAGCAUAUUUUAGUUAUUUUAAUUGUUUUCACUUUUUUUUUGUUUAUUCAAAAAAAAUAAAUCAUUACAUAUAAAAUUUAUUUCUAAAAAAUAUUUGAAAACAAAAUAAGAUGAAAACAUUUUAAGUUGUUAAUAUACUAAUAAAAAAAAUGUACGUUGUUAAUAUACUGAAAUCAUCAUAGAAUUAUUUUAAAAAUUGUUCUCAAAAAUUGAUUUUUGAAUAAUGUAUUUAAAUUGGUGUUGAAUCAAGAUUAGCAGAGAGACUAGAAAAGAAAAGGAAAGUGAUAAAAUUUAUGGGGCAAAGCAUACUGCAUCCAUAUUAUGGAUAAAAUUAAGAUUAUUUUAAAUUGGAUACUGGUUGUUUUAAUUUAUGUUUUCUCAUAUUUUACUUAUUUAUUAAUGGCAGAAAUUGGAUAUCAUUCAAAUUUUAACAUACCUGUUCAUUGAAGAAUGGUGUGGGAACAUCACUCGUACAUAACUCCUGGGUAGCACUGCUUCCUGUGGAGGAGAAGUCCCGUGUCGAAUCCAAGGAUCCCAUUUGACGAUUCACCCAUCGAUCCCUUCCUUGCUCCAUGGGAAGGGAUAUGAAAGAUUUCAACCUCUUGCAAUCACCCACUGUAAGAGAACGUAACUUCCCAAAAGAUCCCUCGGGAAUUGGGCCGUAGCAUACUGCAUCCAUGUUCUGGAGUCGAGAAAUUUUCAAACUCUCCAAGAUAGGAAAGGCACUGCGUGAUGAGACCCCUUUGGUCGAGUCAACAAUGUAUUGAAUCCUAGGACAAUCACUGAUAUCGAGAUGCUUGAGUUGAAGAUGGGGCAAAGCAUACUGCAUCCAUAUUAUGGAUAAAAUUAAGAUUAUUUUAAAUUGGAUACUGGUUUUAAUUUAUGUUUUCUCAUAUUUUACUUAUUUAUUAAUGGCAGAAAUAUGAUAUCAUUCAAAUUUUAACAUACCUGUUCAUUGAAGAAUGCUGUGGGAACAUCACUCGUACAUGACUCCUGGGUAGCACUGGUUCCUGUGGAGGAGAAGUCCCGUGUCGAAUCCAAGGAUCCCAUUUCACGUAACACCGAUCCAUCCCUUCCUUGCUCCAUCGGAAGGGAUAUGAAUGAUUUCAACCUCCUACAAUACUUCACUGUUAAAGAACGUAACUUCCCAAAAGAUCCCUCUGGAAUUGGGCCAUAGCAUACUGCAUCCAUGUUCUCGAGGUUAAAAAUAUCCAAUUCCUCCAACAUAGGAAAGGCACUGUGUAAUGGGACCCCUUUGGUCGAGUCAACAAUGUAUUGAAUCCCAGGACAACCAUCUAUUUUGAGAUACUUGAGUUUAAGAAAACCUUGGGUAUGAAGCUCGUAAAAAAAAAAUUUAGUGUCCAGAUCUUUUAACUCACACAAUUCUAAAUCUUCGACUGUCUUGAACAACUUGGAAAAGCAGUCCACCAAACAAGGUUUGUUAACCCUCAAGAGCUUCAACGUUCUUGCGGAUCGAUUAUAAUCAACUAAAUUUGGGUUGUGAGUCAUUGAUAUCACAUAUCUGGUAAGCUUCUCAAAGACCACCAGAUCUUUUGAUACCAAAUUGGGAUCUCUUAUUACUAUAAAUAAAGUCUCCAAAUAGGACAAGUUGUUCAGCUCAGAAAGGCAAGCAUUAUUGCUUUCUCCACUACCAAAUCAUUCAACCCCCCAUGUGGUAAAACUUCUUCCUAAACAUAAAUGCUGCAAUCGAGAUAAACUUGAUAUGACAUUCCGUGGAAUUACUUUUAAAUAAAAGCAAUGCCACAAGUCCAGCACCCUUAGAUCAGUCAAUUGCAUCAUUUCUUUCGGCAACCGUUCAAAUUCGCAAUAUGCAAAACUAAGAACUUGAAGCUUCUUUAGUUCUCCAAUUACUGCUAUGUCUUGGAAUUUGCAUUUGUAUACACGCAAUGUUCGAAGAUUGGAAAGAAAACCAAGUGAUGAAGGCAGUGGUGUAAAAUGCGUUGCAGACAAGUCCAAAACUUUUAGUAGUUCCGUCUUUUCAAAAAAGGUGUCUGGAAUUCUCAAAGAAUCAUCAUCACCAUUCAAUAAAAAGAAUUCAAGUUUGGAACAUACCAAUCUUUCCGGAAGCUCACGGGGAUCUCUGCAUUGCAAAGAUAUACGACGGAAAUUUCUGAACUCCUUCUUUUGCCAUGCUUCUAAUCCACGAGCUUCUUUGAUCACAACAAAUCGAUGAGGAUCUUUUGCUGCAAUUGCUCUGGCAACAUCACCAACAACAUCAUGCAUUCUGACAAACCUGUUUUCAUAAUUGUCUCCCAAAAACACACCUGGCCCCCCCACACCUAGCAGAUUUCUAUCUUCAGCAUCAAGCAGCAAGCUUGAGUCUUUGAGGAUUUUGACCAAUGCCAGUAGUUUAUUUCUUGUUUGCUCCAAUGAAGUCACGUCUGUAAACACGUCUUCAAACAAAUCCAAACCUAUGCCAUAUUUUAACAAUUGAUCCAUUGAAAUAUCACCAUAGCCCAGCAUACCACAAAGUAAGAACAAAAGCUUCACUUCAUCACCUUCCAAGUAGUCGUAGCUAAACUUCAGACAAGCGUAUGCUUUAUCAGGCACGCCGUCGAUUUUCAUUGCUGCAGAACGCUGCAGUGCUAGCAAAGCAUUGCUCCACAUAUAAUUACUCUGGAACUUUAAUGCCUUUGCAACUGUUACAAUGGCAAUUGGUAGACCAGCACAUUCUCUAGCUACUUGAAUUGCUAUGGAUUUAAGCUCGUCCACUGGAUCACCUGCUGUCUCCUUAAAUAAACUCCAGGCUUCCUCUUCAUGUAAAUGUCGAACAUGGAAGAUUUUCUCAGUACCCAUCUGUCCAGAUAACACACCCCGGCUUCUGGAAGUCAGCAGCACUUUACACCCACGAUGAGCAUCUCCAUAAGGAAUUCCGAUUUUUUCCAACCGAAGUUCCUCCCAAAUAUCAUCCAAAAUCACCAGGACCGUCUUGUGGUUGUUCAAACUUUGACGUAAGCGGUGUGCUCUUGCUAAUUCCCCUUCCUGCCCAAAUUUCAACCCCAAAAUACCUGCAAUAUCUUCCUGAAUGUUUGUCACGUUUGGAAUUUGGGAUAUUUUUGCCAUAACCACCUUUUCAAAUAACUUAUCUUCCUCGGCCUUUUCCGCUACUUGAUUGGCAAGAGUGGUUUUGCCCACACCGCCCAUCCCCCACACACCAAUCAUCCUGAUACCACCAUUUCUCAAGGCCUCCAUAAUUUCGUUUAAAAUAGAUGUUCUUGAUUCCAAAGCUUUACAAUCUCUGAGGCGUGCAGACCAUAUCCGUUGUGGAGGACGGGGAAAUGCUACCCUGUCAAAUUUAUUUUCUUCUUGGAGUUUACCAAUAUCCCCAGACAGCUCCUUCGCUUGCCUGCCUCGCUGGUACGCCAACUUUAAAUUCAAACACAAACAGCUUGUGUUUUCAGCGUUUUCAUCUUCAAUCAAUACCCUUGCCCUUCGGAUGAUCUCUUCUGUACGUGUCAGCCAAUCCCGGACAUCAUUUUCGAUAUCAUCCCCUUGCCUAUUAGCCUCAUCCACAUCGUGCUGCAGCCUCUCCCUUGCAUUACCCAGCCUCUCAACUUGUUUCGCAAGCUCAUCAAG
rnacentral:lncRNA from 1 species